rnacentral:rRNA from 1 species
CAGUCGCCGCGGUAAUACGUAGGUGGCAAGCGUUGUCCGGAAUUAUUGGGCGUAAAGGGCUCGCAGGCGGUUUCUUAAGUCUGAUGUGAAAGCCCCCGGCUCAACCGGGGAGGGUCAUUGGGAACUGGGAAACUUGAGUGCAGAAGAGGAGAGUGGAAUUCCACGUGUAGCGGUGAAAUGCGUAGAGAUGUGGAGGAACACCAGUGGCGAAGGCGACUCUCUGGUCUGUAACUGACGCUGAGGAGCGAAAGCGUGGGGAGCGAACAGGAUUAGAUACCCGGGUAGUCCCUGUCUCUUAUAC